UGCCAAAAGCUCCUUGGGUGGCAUCUCCAGU
rnacentral:piRNA from 1 species